UGAAGCGCGUAAUGUGCCGUUGGUGACGCGCUCAUUCAUUGGUGCUCAGCUGAAGGCUGGAGCCGUAAGGAGCAGUUCGUUUGUCUGGAGGCUUUGUGGGUUCGGUCACGUGUUCGCCGGACAGACGUUUCUAUGGAGAGCCAGUAGACCUUUAGAGUUUGCAGAAAACAGACACCUCCCACCCAGCAGUGUUUCUCCCUGUCCAAUGCAAUCCUGGAAAACGUGUGGUAAACACAUCCACUGCAGUGAAGCAACACCAGAGAACAAGCCACUGUAGUCAUGCUACUCUGCACGCAGGCUGAUAUGAAGAACAUUCAGGUCCAAGUCUUGAGUCCCAGUCCAUGGAAACAGACUUGAACCUGCACCCCUGUGGUCCUCUUUGUUUGGAGUCAUGGAGGAUGACACAGAGUUGCUUUAAGCACUAAGCUUUCCUUAAAUAUGUAGAUAUUAUUAUGUAUUUUAUGUGUAAAACAUUCCUCUCAGAUCAUCAGACGACUUUGUUCAUUCUAUAAUUGUUCUUUAUAAAGAUGAAAGAUGUCACUAUACUUUCAUGACAUAAAGAUAAGCUGCAUCAAGUGUUUGACAGCAUUAAAGAUCAAACAUGAGAAAUCA